rnacentral:rRNA from 1 species
AUUGAACGCUGGCGGCAUGCUUUACACAUGCAAGUCGAACGGUAACAGGCCGCAAGGUGCUGACGAGUGGCGAACGGGUGAGUAAUGCAUCGGAACGUGCCCAGUCGUGGGGGAUAACGCAGCGAAAGCUGCGCUAAUACCGCAUACGAUCUAUGGAUGAAAGCGGGGGACCGUAAGGCCUCGCGCGAUUGGAGCGGCCGAUGUCAGAUUAGGUAGUUGGUGGGGUAAAGGCUCACCAAGCCAACGAUCUGUAGCUGGUCUGAGAGGACGACCAGCCACACUGGGACUGAGACACGGCCCAGACUCCUACGGGAGGCAGCAGUGGGGAAUUUUGGACAAUGGGCGCAAGCCUGAUCCAGCAAUGCCGCGUGCAGGAAGAAGGCCUUCGGGUUGUAAACUGCUUUUGUACGGAACGAAACGGUCCUGGUUAAUACCUGGGGCUAAUGACGGUACCGUAAGAAUAAGCACCGGCUAACUACGUGCCAGCCGCCGCAGUAAGAC